AUCAUUGAAGUCUUCAGCCGAGUGGACUGUUCGUGUCGUGAACUUCUAAAAGCAUUUUAAACUCGAGCGGAAAAUAACCUGCACAGACCAGAGAACAUGUGUGAAUUGUGCGAAUGCUGUUUAUGUGAACUGUGCGAAUGCGCUACAUGUGCAGUUUGCUGCUGCUGUACGGGAAACAUAUGCUGUGGAGCUGUCAUUGGUCUAAUCGUGCUGGCGGUGGUGGCCGCAAUCAUCGUCUUGAUCCUGUACUUGACGGGAAUUAUAGUAGUCUAAGGACGGCGACUAUAAUCAGUUGAGCAAAUGAGCUUGAUGGAGAUGGGAGAUACCAGGAUCCGGAGGAGGAGGCAGAGCUAAGACUGCCAGAACGAGGAUGGAAUACAGCCUGAUUAAGAUCAAAAGGCCAAAAAACAGAAGGACCGGAAAACAUCGAUUAGGAGCAUCUGCGGAGAACUUUCUUUUGUCAAUCAAGUCAUUGAAAGAGAUCCUCGGAGUCAUUAUUAUAAUUGUUAUCAUUAUUAUCAUUAUCAUUACUGCAAAUAUGUUCUCACAGGGCAAAGCUUUUACAUAAAACUCAAAAACAUUUGUCGCCAGCGGAGCGAAAAAGUGUAGAGAGGUUCUUAAAAGUGCAUAAUUAGGAAGCGCUGGGCAAAAGGAAAGGCUUAUAUAUAAAAUGUGAUUAUACUGUAGAUUGAGCUGAAGGAGCAUUAGCAUUUGUGAAGUUUUCAACUUCAAAGAAAUGGAAGACGCGUUUCUCUUAUAUUUCAAGCAGCUAUUUUCAGCUAGACUUGAGCAAGGGAGCGAAUCCAGAUCUUGAAAAAAUAAAAGUUGAUAGUAUAUAAAACAGAAGAAAAACAUGACUAUA